CAAAAUGCCAUGGGGAUGAGAGUAGCCAAAAGUGAUAGGAAAUUGUAUUUAUGAUAUAUAUACAGAGAGAGACGGCUGCAGGCUAAAUGGCAGAAGAACACGAGCGCUACUCUGAUCACCAUCUUCACCGAAUUUCUGGCGCAUUUGUCCAUGCUCGGCAGGAUGCGUGCUUCAGUGCGCAGGAAUAGCGUGUAACAAUAUUUUGUGCACUAUUGCUACAUCAAAGGUAAAGAGAAACUGUUGCGGCAGGCGUACAUUCAAACGUGUUUUUCAUAUCUAAAAAAGCAUACAGAUCACCAACUUAUUGUUUCAAGCUCAGUUUAGAGCAGGCUGUUUUAGGUCGGACUUGGUAUGGUUUAAGACAAAAAUAGUCCAGCAACAGCACGCUGCAGCCGAGGAACGAGUGUUGGCGCGCAUCAGAGCUUCUGUCCAGUGGUUGCGUGCCUUUUUCCUCCAACCAAUGCGAAACGACGCGUUCGCUUGUCAGCACGUGUUGAAGGGUGCCGACGCAUGCCACUGCUGGGUGUUAACAGUGCAAAACGUAGAUGGGACACGAGAUGAGAAGAAGACACCGCGAGCGCUGAUUGCUAGAAUAGCAGCUUGGGUUUGUUGGUUUUUGAUCCUGGUGUUAACGGCACAAAAUGCAGAUGGAACACGAGCCGAGAAGAUGACAUACACGAGGCAGCGCUCGUGGUGUUGUCUUCUCGUCUCGUGUCCCCGGUCGAGCUCCUGUCAAUUGUCAAGAACAUUGCAAGAUGUGCGCCUGAGGAUGAAAAAAGCUUGUGUAUUUCAGGAGUAAAUUGUCUCGCGGGGAAGUGGUCAAAGCAGAACCAGCAGCUGGAUGUUAAGAGAACCGUCGAGUACCUCAAGCAGAAUUAUCUGGUUGAUCUGGUUUUAAUAAUUUCUGAUAACGAAGGUAGUUUUGCUGUUCUGCCCAAUUCGUCAUAUCGUCAGAAACUGAGGGAAGCUGCUGCAAAAAAUUUUACCAUCAAGACGCGCACUGCUGCUAAGCUCAAAAAGCUAGCAUUGGGUCUGUGCGAUAGGUGUAACCUGAAAAAUCUUGGUUUGGCUAUCAAGGAUGCGAAAAGCGGAGUGCUUAGCAUUUUCUUCUUCGCAAAAACCCAUAAAGAAGACGUUCCUUUCUGAGCCAUCGUAUCUGAGCGUGAUACAUGGCAGGGGACUGUCUCUAAGUUUCUGCAGAAACACUUGCACUUGCUCAGAAUUGAGGACCCAUUCAUGAUAAAAAAUUCUGAAGAGCUUAUUGCAUUUCUUUGUGAUCAGGAAGCCUCGAGGAAAUCGUUGUUUCCGUUUUCCAUUGACAUUAUUGACCUAUUUUAUUCCAUUCCACAAGAUAAAUUGCUUUGUGCUAUUAGGGAUUCCACUGAUGACUACGGCCCAGUGGCUUUUCAGAACGCGUGUGGCGUAAAAGUGUGGACAACUUUAUAGAAAUUCUUCGUUUCUAUCUUGCAUCGACCAUCAUUAAUUUCGAAGGAAAAAAACUUCAUCCAGAAGCACGGCACGUGCAUUGGUUCCUGUAUUGCCUCUUUAUUAAAUGACAUCCUUUUAUCAUAUCUUGACAAGCGAAUUGCUGAAUGCCUUGACACAACCUACUCGGCUAAGAUAUUUAGAUAUGUUGACGACUAUGCCAGUUUUUUAAAAGGGGUAUCGAGAGGAGGGGGUUCAACUGCAGUGAACCGUGUUCUUGAAAUUUUCCGCAAGAGCGCCUUUGGGUUGAAUUUCAUUAUUGCGUUGCCUUCGCAUGGAUGCCUGCAGUUCCUAGACAUUUGCAUUGUUAUUGCUGGAUCCUAUGCAUGCUGGAGGUAUCGGCCUCGCUCAAAAAAAGGUAUUUUAAACUACCAGUCCGCUUAUUCGAAGCUUGUCAAAAGGGGAAUAGCAAGAAACUGCCCGCGUGCUGCUAAGCAUGAAAUGCAACUUAGCGUGCUUUUUCAGCUGCUAAGACUGCACAGCGCAGGAUUUCACUGUGAGAUGGUCACCUCGGUGCUAGAAGCCCUUGCCAAGGAAGCACGGGGCCCAUCAGAGCUCCACCCAAGCGAAGAGCCGCAACACCGGAGACCUGUUGCCACCUCAUACUACCACCAAAUCUCUCACCGCCUCAGAAAGGUGGCUUAAAAAUGUGAAGUCCCGGUGGUUCUUACGGUGCCCAAGAAAGUGGCGGGCAUGUGCACCAUGGUGCCGGGAACGAAGAAAAGGAAUGAAUGCAGUAUCAAGCACGUUGACAGUACCCAAAGCAGCCACAAUACCUCCAUUCGAAGUAGUAAUCAACAGGUUACAGAGGCUCCUUCUAUAACUAGCGAUGAAGUUACAAGGGCCUUAUAAGACAUGAAACGAAGAAAAGCCGCAGGAGAAGAUGGACUACCAGUCGAUUCAAUCGAAGAUGGAGGAGCAUCUCCAAGAGAAUGAGGAUGCCAGAGUGGGACCAUUGCAGAAGCAGUCAAGUGACCUGGCUGCACCGUUCUCUGAUGAAUGUGCACAUGCAAUUCAAGGAAGGACAUUUUCAAAUGCCCAUUCUGUGACCAAAGGCAUGCUACCAUGUGCCAACAGGCCCUAGUUCACAUGGGCUCUCCCAUGCUUCCGAAUCUCGCCGGCAACAUGUCAACGCUGCUCAUCACACGCUGUAUUACUGCAGAAAAUAAAG